rnacentral:rRNA from 1 species
GACGAACGCUGGCGGCGUGCCUAACACAUGCAAGUCGAGCGAGGGACUUCGGUCCCUAGCGGCGGACGGGUGAGUAACACGUGGGUAACCUGCCUCAUAGAGGGGGAUAGCCUCCCGAAAGGGAGAUUAAUACCGCAUAUACUCUCGGUAUCGCAUGAUACUUAGAGGAAAGGAGCAAUCCGCUAUGAGAUGGACCCGCGGCGCAUUAGCUAGUUGGUGAGGUAACGGCUCACCAAGGCCACGAUGCGUAGCCGACCUGAGAGGGUGAUCGGCCACAUUGGAACUGAGACACGGUCCAGACUCCUACGGGAGGCAGCAGUGGGGAAUAUUGCACAAUGGGCGAAAGCCUGAUGCAGCAACGCCGCGUGAGUGAUGAAGGCCUUCGGGUUGUAAAGCUCUGUCUUUUGGGACGAUAAUGACGGUACCAAAGGAGGAAGCCACGGCUAACUACGUGCCAGCCGCCGCCUAAUAC